rnacentral:rRNA from 1 species
CUGCGGGACGCUCCAGCUGCGAAUUUUCUACAAUGCACGCAAGUGUGAUAGAGCGAGCCAAAGUGCUUAUCGUACAGAUAAGCUUUUCUUCAGUGUAAAAAUCUGGAGGAAUAAGGACUGGGAAAGAUCGGUGCCAGCCGCCGCGGUAAUACCGACAGUUCGAGUGGCAUCCAACUUUAUUGGGUCUAAAACAUCCGUAGCUUGUUAUUUAAGUCUCUUGUGAAAUCUAACGUCUCAAGCGUUAGGCUUGCAGGAGAUACUGAAUAGCUAGAGACCGGUAGGCGUAAGGAGUACGGCGAAGGUAGCGGUAAAAUGUGUUAAUCUUCGUUGGACUAACGAUUUAGCGAAGGCACCUUACGAGGACGGAUCUGACAGUCAGGGAUGAAGGCCAGGGGCGCAAAACGGAUUAGAUACCCUUGUAGUC